CCGCGAUCCGCAGCAUUAUUACACCGGAAGAGUAAACCUGUUUUCCUCAACAUAGCUCUCAACGUUUCGGAUUUUCGAUUUGGUCUGGUGUUUUCUUUUUUUUUUUCUUUUUUUGAGGCAAUCACCGGCGCGCCGCAGCUUUAUUACACCGGGAAGGGGUAAACCUGUUUUCCUCAAGAUAGCUAUCAAUGUUGCGGGUUUUCGAUUCGGUCUGGUGUUUCUUUUUUUCUUUUUUGAGGCAAUCACAGGGGAAAUCUUCUCCACUUGAAUAUAUUACUUCAAAGAAAGAACCACAUUAUUACAAGGGGAAAUAUAGAAAACGUCACAAGCCGACGCCUGCCUUUUUUUCUCAUUUCAAUCUAAAAGUUCAUACAUAGUCCAAAUGAUCUCAAAAGAAGAGAUCAACCAUUUGUAAAAUCCCGGAUUUUUACAAAGUUAAAUUAUCGAGUUAAGUACUCGAGAUAUAUUUAGUUAGCAAAAAGAUGAGUGAGAAAAUUUUGUUUAUAUUUUUGUAAGAUUUAUAUUAGUGCUUUAAGAUUUAACCAUACUACUGGUUUGAUCGCACCGGCUAGGGAGCAGUGCCGGUCGAACCACGGUCAUGGUGAUAAUCAUAUAUGUGUGGAUUGGUUCUUAUGCAUUUCACUUUUACUCAUGUCUGUGUGCAAAUUGUGCAUCAUAUAUUGCAAACAUUCGAGGCAUACAUGC
rnacentral:lncRNA from 1 species